CGUGAGGGAGCAGGCUCUUGGGUUGUAAACCUCUUUUCUUGGGGAAGAAAAAAUGACGGUACCCAAGGAAUCAGCAUCGGCUAACUCCGUGCCAGCAGCCGCGGUAAUACGGAGGAUGCAAGCGUUAUCCGGAAUUAUUGGGCGUAAAGCGUCCGCAGGUGGCACUUCAAGUCUGCUGUCAAAGACCGGGGCUUAACCCUGGAGAGGCAGUGGAAACUGAAGCGCUAGAGUGUCGUAGGGGUAGAGGGAAUUCCUGGUGUAGCGGUGAAAUGCGUAGAGAUCAGGAAGAACAUCGGUGGCGAAAGCGCUCUACUGGACGACAACUGACACUCAGGGACGAAAGCUAGGGGAGCGAAUGGGAUUAGAUCCCCCCCGAAAACGAUGGAUACUAGGUGUG
rnacentral:rRNA from 1 species